rnacentral:rRNA from 1 species
CACCUCUAGCAUUACCAGUAUUAGAGGCACUGCCUGCCCAGUGACAUUAGUUAAACGGCCGCGGUAUCCUGACCGUGCAAAGGUAGCAUAAUCAUUUGUUCCUUAAUUAGGGACUUGUAUGAAUGGCCCCACGAGGGUUUAACUGUCUCUUACUUUUAAUCAGUGAAAUUGACCUUCCCGUGAAGAGGCGGGAAUAUGACAAUAAGACGAGAAGACCCUAUGGAGCUUAAAUUAAUAUGCUCAACAAAAUUUAAAUUUAACCCAACAGGAACAAUCACAAUUUAACUGAGCAACAAAUUUUGGUUGGGGUGACCUCGGAGUAUAACAAAACCUCCGAGUGAUUUUAACUAAGACACACUCGUCAAAGUUACAUAACUUAUUGAUCCAAUCAUAUUGAUCAACGAAACAAGUUACCCUAGGGAUAACAGCGCAAUCCUAUUCGAGAGUUCAUAUCGACAAUAGGGUUUACGACCUCGAUGUUGGAUCAGGACACCCAAAUGGUGCAGCAGCUAUUAAAGGUUCGUUUGUUCAACG